CCCCUAGAUGUUCUGGGCCGCACGCGCGCUACACUGAACAGUUCAACAAGUCUUAACCUUGGCCGAUAGGUCUGGGUAAUCUUUGAACGCUGUUCAUGAUUGGGAUAGACCUUUGCAAUUAUGGGUCUUCAACGAGGAAUUCCUAGUAAACGCAAGUCAUCAGCUUGCAUUGAUUACGUCCCUGCCCUUUGUACACACCGCCCGUCGCACCUACCGAUUGAAUGGUCCGGUGAAAUCUCGGGACGGCGGCUUGGUCGCUUGCGUCCGACUGCUGAAACUUGAUUAAACCAUAUCAUUUAGAGGAAGGUGAAGUCGUAACA
rnacentral:rRNA from 1 species